rnacentral:rRNA from 1 species
GAUGAACGCUGGCGGCGUGCCUAAUACAUGCAAGUCGAGCGAACAGAUAAGGAGCUUGCUCCUUUGACGUUAGCGGCGGACGGGUGAGUAACACGUGGGUAACCUACCUAUAAGACUGGAAUAACUCCGGGAAACCGGGGCUAAUGCCGGAUAACAUUUAGAACCGCAUGGUUCUAAAGUGAAAGAUGGUUUUGCUAUCACUUAUUGAUGGACCCGCGCCGUAUUAGCUAGUUGGUAAGGUAACGGCUUACCAAGGCAACGAUACGUAGCCGACCUGAGAGGGUGAUCGGCCACACUGGAACUGAGACACGGUCCAGACUCCUACGGGAGGCAGCAGUAGGGAAUCUUCCGCAAUGGGCGAAAGCCUGACGGAGCAACGCCGCGUGAGUGAUGAAGGUCUUCGGAUCGUAAAACUCUGUUAUUAGGGAAGAACAAAUGUGUAAGUAACUGUGCACGUCUUGACGGUACCUAAUCAGAAAGCCACGGCUAACUACGUG